CUUAUUUACAUCUGUUCAUAUUAGUGAUCGACCGAUACUGUUUUUUCAAGGCGGAUACUGAUCCGUAGUAGUUAAUGAAACCAUUAACUGAUUUUUGGAACCAAUAUGCAUUUAUAGU